UAGUGCAUUGUUAACGACCAUGAAAUCACAAGAAACAGAAGUUGUGCUCUGAGGAAAUGGUAUGUGAACACUACACAUACACUAUUUUGGAUGUGCAGAGUCAAACGUUUCGUACUGCAGUACCAUGGAAAUCAGAGGUUUUAAGGAAGCCCUUAAAACCACUGAAGAAAAUGGAAUGAUGGUCUCUACAUCUCCACUGACGGACAUCCACAAAUCAUAAAAAAAUGAGGGUCUGUCAUCCAGAAACACACGAUGAAUGGGCAGGCCUGGGAGAGUGGAGUCCAUCCAUCAUGAAUCAUUCCUGGUGGAGCGCACAAAAUUAUGAGGGUGACGCAGAGAUGCUGAAAGAGAAGUAGAUAUCGGUAAUACACCACGUUACCAACCGACACGACCGGCCAGGGAACACACACUAUCACCGAUGUGCUCAUGAGCCCCUUGAUGAGAUGAGUCAUGGAGGUGAGCUUUGGUUAGGGCCAGGAUCUGAAGCCCACGACACACUCGUGACCACUGUGGAAGACAAGAGGCUUUUGAAAGACCUGGAUCAUCCGAUGAAGUGCAUCCACACAACAUCACUAGAGAGAAUACAUUUUGGAUAUGAUGUGAUGAUCCAUGCCUCAUGCUUGCUGCUCAGGAUCAUAACAACAAUGUGAACAGGGAACAGGCUGUUUUUCAAGUUGGGGGGAGUGUUGGUGGAACCCAAGUCCACAAGAGUUUCUGAGCAAGACCAGUGGCUGUUGAGAAGGGCUAUGGAUAUAGUUUCAGAUUCGCACCAGGCCAUGGACAUGAGAGUGAACCAAACACAUAUCACUGCUCCACUAGAGAGACCAUACAGACGACAGAUCGUUUUUCAAACUCAGCAGUGGUCACGUUUCAAGUAUUUGCAUCAUUAUUAAACACAUGAUUUACACAGCAGCAUUGUUUGAAUAUGCAUUAAUUUUUAAUUUUUGACACAUUUGGUCAAAACAUUUUAAUUUUAACAAUAACAUUUUUGUAGGAUACCCUAUGUUGUUGAGCCCUGCAUUACUGAAACAGAAAAGUUGUUUAAACAUUGUUAGAAAUCUUGAUGGAAUGCAUUG